rnacentral:misc_RNA from 1 species
UUUCCGUAGGUGAACCUGCGGAAGGAUCAUUACAUUCAGUAGCCCAGCUACUUGUUUACACCCUUGUUUUUUUUUGCGUACCUAUCGUUUCCUCGGCGGGCUUGCCUGCCGGUUGGACAAAACUAUAACCUUUUUUAAAUCUUCAAUCAGCGUCUGAAUUAUACAUAAUAAUUACAACUUUCAACAACGGAUCUCUUGGUUCUGGCAUCGAUGAAGAACGCAGC